UGCUUUUUUCAUGCAUAGUUAGUUUUAGACUUGUUUACUUGGUUAAUCAACCAAUCAUAUUGUCGCAUUGGUUGAAAUGUAUGGUCACAUGACUAGUAGUUCUGUUUUACUUGGUUUUUAAGGAUUGAUAGGAUUGUUUGGAUUCAGCACAGUUAUACAGUUAUUACCAGUACACAGAGAACAGUGUGUGUUUGUGUGAGAUCAGAUGUCAGUAAGAAUGUAAAAUCAGAGGGGUACUUGUGUUACACAUAAGACCCAACACUCUAUUCCAGCAUAUUCCAUAUCCAUGAGAAUGACUUUGUAUUUUGUGAUGGCUUGUAUAUGGACAUAAGUAAAUAAACAUCUAGUAAACUACCACUGAGUUCAGUCGUGUGGCCCUGCUAGAACUAUUCUUUUACAAAGGCACUGGUUGGUUUAGAAAGGGUCAGUCCUGUGUGUUAUCUUUAGGUGUGGCUAAGUUCGAAAGCUGCUCAAGUGGUAAAUGGUUGUAGUCAGGAUACUUUGAGAUUAAGAACCGUUUAGGAAAGAAUACUUUUAGGUUUAGAACUGUUUAGGUCAAAGUUUGGAGUAAGAUAUGAAAUUUAGAAAUUAUAAAGUAGUAAGAUAAUGAAGUGAAAGAUCUGAAUAAUGUUUGAAAAUGUAAUUGUUGUUUAUAUGAUGGACAUGAACGUUAGAACCAUAGAAAUAAAAGGAAUGUAGUAAAAUGGAA